rnacentral:rRNA from 1 species
GACGAACGCUGGCGGCGUGCUUAACACAUGCAAGUCGAACGGAAAGGCCCUGCUUUUGUGGGGUGCUCGAGUGGCGAACGGGUGAGUAACACGUGAGUAACCUGCCCUUGACUUUGGGAUAACUUCAGGAAACUGGGGCUAAUACCGGAUAGGAGCUCCUGCUGCAUGGUGGGGGUUGGAAAGUUUCGGCGGUUGGGGAUGGACUCGCGGCUUAUCAGCUUGUUGGUGGGGUAGUGGCUUACCAAGGCUUUGACGGGUAGCCGGCCUGAGAGGGUGACCGGCCACAUUGGGACGGAGAUACGGCCCAGACUCCUACGGGAGGCAGCAGUGGAGAAUAUUGCACAAUGGGCGGAAGCCUGAUGCAGCAACGCCGCGUGCGGGAUGACGGCCUUCGGGUUGUAAACCGCUUUCGCCUGUGACGAAGCGUGAGUGACGGUAAUGGGUAAGAAGCACCGGCUAACUACGUG